AUUAAUCUGUGGUUUUUGACAAUUUCUUAGUCUUUUUCAUCCAAUAUGAAUAAUUACCACAAUAUCAACUUCUCAACUACAAAAAAAAAUGCUUUUAAUUCGUCACAAUAAUUUAUUUAUAGAAGAAUUUUGAAGGAUUAAAUUGUUGAUUACUAAUUGAAUCAGGAAAAUUUGUUGAGAAGAUUGAUUAAGAAAAAAAUCUAAUCAAGUCAGACCUAUUGAGUAAAAUGAUUUGAAUUUAUCCCAACCAUUUGUUGAAGAAUCAAGGUACAAGUGUUGGUGUACCAGAUAUUUGUAACAACUGAUACUAGUAUCUCAAUUUUUUUAAGAAUGAAUCAGUGAAAAAUUCAAGUAUUUCUAGUCUAUAUGGAUUUCUACCAAACUUAUUACUAUGAGAUAUAUUAAUAUUACUACAAACCAUUCAAGGUAAAUUGUGUGAUAAAUUGUUGUUUUAUUUAACUGGCCUUAUUUCAAAUUUUGGUGUACUAUAUACCGGUAACAUCUGAAACUAGUACCUUGAUUUUUUUAGAAUGAAUCAGUGAAAAAUUCAAGUAUUUCUAGUCUAUAUGGAUUUCUACCAUAAUAUCACUAUGAGAUCUAUUAAUAUUACUACAAACCAUUCAAGGUAAAUUGUGUAAUAAAUUGUUCUAUUUAACUGGCCUCAUAUUUAUGUUUCAAAUAGAUUUUGUGCCGGUCGCACAAAAGCCUGUUAAAUUUUAAUCAUGCCACGAGAACCAAUCAGAGAAGCAUUCUUCUCAAGAAAGCCUUCUCUGAUUGGUGCUUGUGACAUUUUAAUCACGAUUAGAAUUCAACAGGAUUUUGUGCAACCGGGCCUCUGUGUGAAAACUAGCUUGUAAAGAAGAGAAAGAAUUAUUUGUCAUGAGAACUUUUCUUUUAAGCAAUAAAAAAUAUUCUUUCAAAAAUGA